rnacentral:rRNA from 1 species
CCAAUAGCGUAUAUUAGUGUUGUUGCGGUUAAAAAGCUCGUAGUUGAAUUUCGGGAUUGGGAUAUAUCGGUCAUGCCUUUAGGGGCAUGAAUCGGUGUGUAGCCAAUUUCUCACCUUCUGGUGAAUUGGGACGCUCUUGGGUGUUUCAAUGAACUAGGACUUUUACUUUGAAAAAAAUAUAGUGUUUAAAGCGGGCAUUU